CCUACGGGAGGCAGCAGUGGGGAAUAUUGGACAAUGGGGGGAACCCUGAUCCAGCGACGCCGCGUGAGUGAAGAAGUAUUUCGGUAUGUAAAGCUCUAUCAGCAGGGAAGAAAGAAAUGACGGUACCUGACUAAGAAGCCCCGGCUAACUACGUGCCAGCAGCCGCGGUAAUACGUAGGGGGCAAGCGUUAUCCGGAUUUACUGGGUGUAAAGGGAGCGUAGACGGCGAUGCAAGUCUGAAGUGAAAGGCGGGGGCCCAACCCCCGGACUGCUUUGGAAACUGUAUGGCUGGAGUGCAGGAGAGGUAAGUGGAAUGCGUGGUGUAGCGGUGAAAUGCAUAGAUAUCACGCAGAACCCCGAUUGCGAAGGCAGCAUACCGGUGCACAACUGACGCUCAGGCACGAAAGCGUGGGUAUCGAACAGGAUUAGAUACCCUAGUAGUC
rnacentral:rRNA from 1 species